rnacentral:lncRNA from 1 species
AAUUGUUUAAGGUGUUGGUUCUUUUCCCUAUGUGAUAUUUUGUGGUAGGUUUUAUUGCUUAUCAUACUCUCCAUGUUUUUUCCUAUGGCAGCUUGCCUCACACUGUUCAGAAACUGAGAAUGUUAAAGUUCAGGCCCUCAAGUUGUACACGACUGACAAGGGUCACAAAUCAGGAGCUAAGAAACAUUUCUCUAAAGUGACCACUGACUUUUUUUUAUUUUGUUCUUUUUCUUUUAGCUCAAGCCAGGGGAGAACAGCUGCAGGGACAGUGACAGCGAAAGUGCCAGUGCAGAAUCCAAGGGUUUCCAUCGGAGCAGCUCCCGUGAAAGGCUCAGUGAUGAAAGGAUGACUAAUCCUGGCCAUUUAGUUAGAGAAGGAACUAAAUUUGCUAUCUAAUUCCCAUGACGGAAAUCUUUGAAGAACAAACCUUAUUUUCUGUCAGCCCUGUAAACCUAAUUCUGACCACUCCCCAGCCUCCAGCCCACCUACCAUGGAGAUACUCCUCUGCUUUUCCUGGAAACUACUUGCCCCUUUUGUACUCUCUUGCCUUCUUCCCCUGACAUGUCAUAUUGUAACUAUUCUGAAGGCAACCUUGUGAAAUGUGAAGUAGAAAGAAACUUUAUUGAUAAAAAGAAGGCAACAUAAGUAGAUUCAGUGAGAUAGUACCAAGAAAGAAAAAGCUAGCAAUUCAGUGUUUAAGUGUUAAAUAAUAGAGUUACGGCUUACAGUGAGGAGAAAAAUCCAUUACUUCUUGUCUUCUGUUUUAAUUUUUUAAUGUACUGUAAAGCCGUAGUUUUUAUUACAGUAUAUGUGAUGAACCAUUAUUACAAAAUAAACUUUUCAUAAAGUGAAAUUAUACUUUAAUUAUAGAGGUAUAAGCAGGGAGUAAUCAAUAUGUACUUUUAAACACAUGCAACUUAGAACUGUCUAUUCAAAGAAUUGUUUUCUUCCUGAGAGAUGUCCACCAGCAUAAAAGUUUGCAGACUAUUGCAGUACAGUAAACCAUUCCUCAUGGUAAUACAACAUUUGUCACUGUAUUAGCCAAAGAAGACAACCCGAAGACAUAACCACUUCCCUACAUAUCUGUGUUGUUUCGAAAGAGAUUUGAUGGAUAGAAUAUUGAUUCGGACAAGAAGUAUAAGUGCAAAAAAUAAAAUUAAUUAUUUUUGAGGUAUACUUUGAUAUGUAAGUUGUAGGUAAUCAUUUCCCCUUGUUCUAAUGUGAUACAAUAUUCAUAGAUAAAUAAAGAGUACUGAUUCAGUCUUUUACUGUGAAUACAGG